rnacentral:rRNA from 1 species
UGAGGGCGGCCGCCCCUAGGGCCACCACCCCCUCGGUGAUGGGCAUGGCCCACCACAGGGCCUGCCCUCCGAAGAGGGUGGGCAGGGCCAGGAUGAGCCCUCCGCUGACCACCAGCCCCCGGGCCACCGACACCCCGAAGGCGCUCCCCGGCCGGAGCACUGCCUGGAAGUAAUAGGUGGAAAAGACGUUGAAGGGCAGCAGCAGGAAGGACAGCCCAUACGUCCGCAAAAUCCCCGGGGCGAUGGCCAGCACCUGGUCCGUGGGAACCAUGAACAAGGUGAUCAGGGGCUGGGGGAAGAGGAGAAGGACCACCGUCCACCCCACGCCGAAGGCCGCCGCGGUGUACAGGGCAUACCGCAGCAUCUGCCGGGAGCUUACCAAGCUCCAUGAGCAGAUCCUUCGCAUGACGCUCGGCGAGGCCCUCGCCUACUACACGGAAAACGAUCCGCGCGGCGAGUACGUUCUGAUUCUGGAGGGCGCGGCCGAGGCCUCCGAGGAAGCAUUGACGCUGGAGGACGCCGUCUCGCUUGCGCUGGAGCGCAUCGCCUCCGGCGCGUCCAAAAAGGACGCCGUCCGCGAGGUCUCCCGCGAGACCGGCUUCCCAAAAAAUGCGCUCUAUGACGCCGUCCUGCGUAUGCAGGACGCAGAUUGAGCUUUCACCAGAAAGGAGACCGCCAUGGCGACCUCUCCCGAUUAUAUCACCUAUGUCUGCGACCAGCUGGCGGGCUUUCAGCCGCUCCGAUACCGGAAGAUGUUCGGAGAAUAUAUGGUCUAUCUCUCCGACCGGCCCAUUCUCACCGUCUGCGACAACACCGUAUACGUCAAAAUGUAUCCGGAGCUUGCGCAGCUGCUGGACGGCGCGCCGUGCGCCGCAUAUGCUGCCUAGAAAAGCUUCUAAGUAUAGGACACGCAAACCGUACCGGAAACCAACUCAGGUGGGUGGGAUGAAUAAUCCAAGGCGCUCGAGAGAACUCUGGCCAAGGAACUCGGCAAAAUAACCCCGUACCUUCGGAAGAAGGGGUGCUUUUUAGGGUGAAGCGAUUCACUCUGUCGAGCCCUGAAAAGCCGCAGAGAAAUGGUGGUGGCGACUGUUUACUAAAAACAUAGGUCUGUGCCAAGUCGUAUAGACGACGUAUACGGACUGACGCCUGCCCGGUGCUGGAAGGUUAAAAGGAGGAGUCAGCGCAAGCGAAGCUCCGAAUUGAAGCCCCAGUAAACGGCGGCCGUAACUAUAACGGUCCUAAGGUAGCGAAAUUCCUUGUCGGGUAAGUUCCGACCUGCACGAAUGGCGUAACGAUCUCCACACUGUCUCGGCCAGAGACUCGGUGAAAUUGAAGUCGCGGUGAAAAUGCCGUGUACCCGCAGAAAGACGGAAAGACCCUGUGCACCUUUACUAUAGCUUGACAUUGGGAUUUGAGCCUGCAUGUGUAGCAUAGGUGGGAGGCUGUGAACUCUGUACGCCAGUAUGGAGGGAGCCAACGUUGAAAUACCACCCUUGUUUGUUCAGGUCCCUAACUCUUCGCCGUUACCCGGUAAGAGGACAGUGUCUGGUGGGUAGUUUGACUGGGGCGGUCGCCUCCCAAAAUGUAACGGAGGCAUGCAAAGGUUCCCUCAGGCUGAUUGGAAACCAGCCGUCGAGUGCAAACGCAAAAGGGAGCUUGACUGCAAGAGAGACAUCUCGAGCAGGUACGAAAGUAGGUGUUAGUGAUCCGGUGAUCCCGAAUGGAAGGGUCAUCGCUCAUUGGAUAAAAGGUACGCCGGGGAUAACAGGCUGAUCGCAUCCAAGAGUUCACAUCGACGAUGCGGUUUGGCACCUCGAUGUCGGCUCAUCACAUCCUGGGGCUGAAGCAGGUCCCAAGGGUACGGCUGUUCGCCGUUUAAAGUGGUACGCGAGCUGGGUUUAAAACGUCGUGAGACAGUUUGGUCCCUAUCUUCUGUGGGCGUAGGAGAAUUGAAAGGGCCUGUCCCUAGUACGAGAGGACCGGGAUGGACACACCACUGGUGGACCUGUUGUCGUGCCAACGGCACAGCAGGGUAGCUAUGUGUGGAAGGGAUAACCGCUGAAAGCAUCUAAGCGGGAAGCCUGCCUUAAGAUAAGUUCUCCCUGACGCAAGUCCUGAAGGGCCGAGGUAGACGACCUCGUUGAUAGGCUGGAGGUGGAAGCCCUGUGAGGGGUGGAGCUGACCAGUACUAAUAGCCCGUGCGUCUUGUUUUU